rnacentral:lncRNA from 1 species
NNNNNNNNNNNNNNNNNNNNNNNNNNNNNNNNNNNNNCACAUACACACACACACACACACAGACACAUACACACACUCACACACACAGACACAUAUACACACUCACACACACAGACACAUAUACACACUCUUACACACACACACACACACAUACACACACAUAUACACACACACACACACAGACAGACAGACACAUAGACACACACAGACAGACACAUAGACACACACACACACACACAUACACACACACACACACACACACACUCUCACACAGACAUAUACACACACUCACACUCACACAGACAUAUACACACACAUAUACACACACUCACACAUACACAGACACAUAUACACACACACACACACACACAGACAGACACAUAUACACACACACAGACAGACACAUAUACACACACACACACUCUCACACAGACAUAUACACACACUCACACUGACACAUAUACACACACUCACACUCACACACAUACACAGACACAUAUACACACUCUUACACACACAGACACAUAUACACACUCACACACACAGACACAUAUAGACACUCUUACACACACAGACACAUAUACACACUCACACAGAGACAUAUAUACACACUCACACAGAGACAUAUAUACACACACACACACUCUCACACAGACAUAUACACACACUCACACUGACACAUAUACACACACUCACACUCACACACAUACACAGACACAUAUACACACUCUUACACACACAGACACAUAUACACACUCACACACACAUAUACACACACUCACACAUACACACACUCACACAUACACAGACACAUAUACACACAUACACAGACACAUAUACACCCUAUUACACAUACAGACACAUAUACACACUCUUACACACACAGACACAUAUAGACACAUAUACACACUCUUACACAUACAGACACAUAUACACACUCUUACACACACACACAUAUACACACUCACACACACACAAACAUACACACUCACAAACACACUCAUACACAUAUACACACACACACACUCAAACACACACACAGACACAUAUACACACAUACACAGACACAUAUACACACUCUUACACACACAGACACAUAUACACACUCUUACACACAGACACAUAUACACACACACACACUCUCACACACACACAAACAUACACACACUCACAAACACACUCAUACACAUAUACACACACACACUCAAACACACACACAGACACAUAUACACACAUACACACUCGCACUCUCACACACACACACCUCAGUUUUGAUGUCUUUUGUACUUCUGAUUUACAUC